rnacentral:sRNA from 1 species
ACAACAAAACAAAAAUGCGCGCAGACGAUGGAGUAAUCCCUAAUGAUCAGAAACGGCAACUACAAGGAUAAACCAAAUAUGUAACCCAGUUAUUACACUUGAAAUAGUAAUCCAAAUCCGAAUGGCAUACAAAAUGCCAACAAUGCUGUCUUAUCGAAUAAUGAUGCUAUACGUUGUGUAUGAAAAAUGAUAUGAUUAGCACAGCGCAAGAGGAGCAACAACAAAAAUCCGAAAACGGCAGUCAGAUAUGAAAUCCUUAUUAUUUGUGUUUUAAACGCUAUUACUCGCUAUAAUUAAUAAUGCUUACUUACAAACAUA